GCCGGGGUAGCUCAGCCUGGUAGAGCGGCGGGCUGUUAACCCGUCGGUCGCCCGUUCAAAUCGGGCCCCCGGCG
rnacentral:tRNA from 1 species